CAGACACUGAAAACUAAGAAGAAGAAGAAGAAGCGGCGGCAGAAGAAGAGAAACAGUUCCAUGAGAAACACAAACCAUUAGAAUUCCUAAUAAGAACUUAAUAUGGAGUCAUCAGAGGUCCAACCAUGCUGUCAUAGAAAACCUUCAUACACUUCUGCUCCUGUUUGCUCAAAGGAUUGUUCUAGUGUACAAACGGACAUGUGUACAGUGUCUGGUGGAGAAACAUCAGUCGCAGAGGGUCACAACCUUCCGGAAGAUAUAAAACAGGAAGAGCCUGCAAAUGAAGAGUACUUUUGUAAGUCUACAUGAUACAAUUCAAUUGUGUUUGAUGAUCAGUCAUUAUUUCUAGUUUAACAUUGUUUACUUUACAUUUAUUAAGAAUUUGAUGAAAUCAAUGACAUUU